AUUGAACGCUGGCGGCAGGCCUAACACAUGCAAGUCGAACGAGUGGCGGACGGGUGAGUAAUGACUGGGAAACUGCCUGAUGGAGGGGGAUAACUACUGGAAACGGUAGCUAAUACCGCAUACCAUCAGAUGUGCCCAGAGGGGAUUAGCUUGUUGGUGGGGUAACGGCUCACCAAGGCGACGAUCCCUCGCUGGUCUGAGAGGAUGACCAGCCAAACUGGAACGUAGACACGGGCCAGACUCCUACGGGAGGCAGCAGUGGGGAAGAUGGCACAAUGGUCGAAAGCCUGAUGCAGCCAUGCCGCGUGGAUGAAGAAGGCCUUCGGGUUGUAAAGUACUUUCAGCGGGGAGGCGUUACCCGCAGAAGAAGCACCGGCUAACUCCGUGCCAGCCGCCGCGGUAAUUC
rnacentral:rRNA from 1 species